UUUAGAUUACAGUCGGCGAUUAAGGCAUUUCACUAUCAGCGAAAAUUGGUGGUAUUAAUUUUUCACCAGAUCUCCGACAACCUGAUUUGCAUCUUUAUACCUAAUUUGCCCUCCCACUAUUCCACAUCUACAAGCAACUACCCAUAACAAUUCGACCAGAAGGCCCUCAUUCGCGGCUCCGAAUUCAGCCUUCCGACCACCACAGGUAUGCAGGAUUAGGUGCGGUUGAUUUCACUAGUACUGCCCAGGUGAUCGAGUAUCAUUUGGAAGAACUGGCGUCGAGGUUGUUUAUAUGUUGCCCCUGCUGUUCUGAUGUCGGAUUAGAUAUAAUGGGAAUGAGGAGAAGAUGGCGCCAAAUAGAAAAAGUAAGGCGCCAUUUUGCAGGUAUGUCGAGGACGAUGGAGGGUUAUGUGGAUAUUUUCAUUUCAAAAAGUAGGGAGAUAUUUGUCAAUCACAAAAUUUAAACAAA